AUGAACAGAGGGCGACAAAGAUCACCUGCACGCACAGAAGAGGACGUAACAUGGCGGCAGUUACAGAAGCGUGCAACAGGCGUAGAAGUGCGGAGGCAUGAUCAGACUGUGAAACUCAAGAUUCCGUCCCCACCAUUAAAGUACUGUCUAAAUUGUGGACGCAGAAAACCAAAUCCAAGUAAAAAACGUCACCAUCAAAGCUAUUUAAGAAACAAUGCCGAAUCAAAAUGCAAGAGACACUACAGACGUGAACACGAGGUCCAUCUACGCAAGAACUGAAUGCUGAGGAUUUUAAUUAUUUAGCCCUUUCCUGUGUCGUCAGAGCAGCAAUGAAAUAUACUGAUUUAAACU